GAUGAACGCUGGCGGUAUGCCUAACACAUGCAAGUCGUACGAGAGUUUUUAACUCAAGUGGCGGACGGGUGAGUAACACGUGAGAAUUUACCUUUAGGAGGGGGACAACAAUUGGAAACGAUUGCUAAUACCCCAUAUGCUCUAGAGUGAAACGGAUUUUUCCGCCUAAAGAAAAGCUCGCGGCUGAUUAGCUUGUUGGUAAGGUAAUGGCUUACCAAGGCGACGAUCAGUAUCUGGUUUGAGAGGACGAUCAGACACACUGGAACUGAGACACGGUCCAGACUCCUACGGGAGGCAGCAGUGGGGAAUUUUCCGCAAUGGGCGAAAGCCUGACGGAGCAAUACCGCGUGAGGGAAGACGGCCUAUGGGUUGUAAACCUCUUUUUUUCAGGGAGGAACGAAAUGACGUGUACCUGAAGAAUAAGCAUCGGCUAACUCCGUGCCAGCAGCCGCGGUAAGACGGAGGAUGCAAGUGUUAUCCGGAAUCACUGGGCGUAAAGCGUCUGUAGGUGGUUUGUUAAGUCAACUGUUAAAUCUUGAGGCUCAACUUCAAAUCAGCAGUCGAAACUAUCAGACUAGAGUAUAGUAGGGGUAAAGGGAAUUUCCAGUGGAGCGG
rnacentral:rRNA from 1 species